GAGAGUAUAGCUCAGUGGCAGAGCGCAUGCUUAGCAUGCUCGAGGUCCUGCGUUCAAUCCCCAGUACCUCCA
rnacentral:tRNA from 1 species